UUGGAAAAUGUUGGACUGAAUAACACACUGUUUGAAUCUCUUCUUCCUUUUUUGCCUAAAACUCUGACAUUGUUGGAUCUUAAGAACAACAGCCUCACAUAUUUUUCAACGAAUUUUAUUUCCAAUACAACAGUGAAAACACUUGACCUCUCUCAGAACCAAAAUAUCACUAUGAUGUUAGAUAAGCAAGCAUUAAGCUUGACACAUCUUGAUCUGUCGCAUUCGAAUUUUGAGUGGAAGACAUCUCAAGAAAGCAAACCUGUGUGUAAAAUACCAAACUUACUUGUAUUGAAUUUUGCGGGAAAUCGUUUAAAUUUGUCUACCUUUGACAAUCGCAACGACGAAAAUUGUUUUUGGUACUUGAAGUCGCUGAAUCUAAGUUUAAGCGAUCUAACCGAGCCUAUUAUUAAUGAAAGUUUCUCUUUUUUCCCAAAUCUAACAUCGCUAUAUUUGGACGGAAUUUCAAACAUAGAACAGUUUCCUUCUUUUCAACACACAGAACGUCUUACCAAACUGAGUCUAAACGACGUUAAAUGCUUCGUUAAUCCAACACUCAAAAACAUAAACAUUUUCAAGAAUCUGCAUAAAUUACGACGGUUGGAAAUGCAAAAUUGGGAAUUACACUUGUGGGACGAAACAGAACUCACUGUUCUUUUUAGCCCAAUGAUUAAAACCCUGGAGCAUCUGGAUUUGAAAUCAACAGGUCUAUCAACAAUUCCAUUGGUCAUAAAAGAAAUGGAUGAAUUAACGAAAUUAAUUUUAACUAGCAAUAACAUAUCGUCAUGGAAUUCAAUUUCAGAAAACACAAAUAAAAAUUUAACUAUUCUUUUUAUGGAGUGGAACUUAAUAGAAACUGUGGAUCCGCAUUCAAUUCCUAAAAGAGUCGUAGAAUUCCCACUUGAAGGCAAUCCAUUUUUAUGCACGUGUGAGCUGAUGCCCUACAAGAACUGGGUUAAAGAAAGAAAAUUAUCAAAAAUUAUAAAGGACUGGGCGAGUAAAUACCAAUGUUCCAAACCUCAUCAAUGGGAAGGAAAAACUCUAGAUAUGUUCAGACCCAAAAUAACUGACUGUCAAGAGUUCAAUGCAUACGUUAUCACGGCCAUUGUGCUGUGCUUUUUGAUGGUCAUCAUUGUCAUUGCAACAAAUAUUUACAGCCGACGAAGAAAACAAAACAUACUGAAGAAAUUUCAGUACACCCACGAUUCCAGUGAAAAACGGAAGCUUUUGUCCUCUAGCUAGUUAACAAUCAAAAAUCUUUUUCAUUAUUACGGGCCGCCAGAAGGUGGUCCGUUAUUUGAUACACAUUUAAAUUUUGUAACUGCGUUUCUGCGGGAUAGUUUUUUUUAUUGAAUUAAUAUUAUGUUU
rnacentral:misc_RNA from 1 species